GACGAACGCUGGCGGCGUGCUUAACACAUGCAAGUCGAACGGAAAGGCCCUGCUUGCAGGGUACUCGAGUGGCGAACGGGUGAGUAACACGUGGGUGAUCUGCCCUGCACUUCGUGAUAAGCCUGGGAAACUGGGUCUAAUACCGGAUAGGAGCCAUUUUUAGUGUGAUGGUUGGAAAGUUUUUUCGGUGUAGGAUGAGCUCGCGGCCUAUCAGCUUGUUGGUGGGGUAAUGGCCUACCAAGGCGGCGACGGGUAGCCGGCCUGAGAGGGUGGACGGCCACAUUGGGACUGAGAUACGGCCCAGACUCCUACGGGAGGCAGCAGUGGGGAAUAUUGCACAAUGGGCGCAAGCCUGAUGCAGCGACGCCGCGUGGGGGAUGACGGCCUUCGGGUUGUAAACUCCUUUCGCUAGGGACGAAGCUUUUUGUGACGGGACCUAGAUAAGAAGCACCGGCUAACUACGU
rnacentral:rRNA from 1 species